rnacentral:lncRNA from 1 species
AAAUUGCUCCAGAUCCUAGAAAAUAAAAGCAGGAAAGGAAAGGUUGGCUGAACAGGGAAGGAAAAUAUGUCAAGAACAAAAGACAAAUGAUUAUCUCAGGAAAAGUUCCUGCCCCUCUAAACUCUGUGCUGGGCAGCCACACGUGCCCGUGGGAAAGUGCUGUGUCCUUGGAGUGCCCUGCACGCUGCAACUGAAGCCAACAAGACACGGCCCAGACAGGGAGCAGGUUCUGCUAACAGUGGGGAGGGGACAUCUGGCAGCAUCUCUCCCAAGCAGCAACGGUAGCAGUGGUGGCAGCAACAGCAGCAGCAGCUGGGGAGUGUCCCUCCAACUUCAGAGUGAGCAGCAGCAGCUGACCAGAUUGGAGGACAUUUCCACUGUCUUCCCUGGCAGCUGUGAUGUGUUGUGCGGUGGCAGCUGAGGAUUGCCUGCGUGUAAUCUUUGAGGUUCCAAGAUGCUUGUUGGAAGUGGAGCCUGGUCAAGCAGCAGAAAGGACAGCUGGAUCCAUGCUGGGUGGGGUGAGGUGGGGUGCUUGUCAGGGAAGUUGGCUUCAGCUGGAACUGGAGGUUGGCUCCAGCAAAGGAGGUUGAACAUCACUGAUUCCUGACCUGCAGCACCCAAAUGGCCACAAAGAGAUGUCAUGGGUUUUGAGGAGGCCACAGAGCCAACAGCUUUAGUGUCUUCAGAAGGAUGAAGAAAACUUGAACAACAUUUUAAAAUAGCUUGAGAUAUAAUUCACAUCCCAGAGAGUGCAUCCAUCUAAAGGGUACAAUUCAAUGGAUUUUAGUAUAUUUACGGAGCUGUGCAUUCAUCACUACAAUUAAUUAUAGAACUUCUUCAUUUACUCAAAAUACCCCAGCACCCCUUAGCUAUCACCCUGAUUCCUCUAUCUCCCCCAGCCCUAGGCAACCAUUAAUCUUUUUUGUAUCCAUAGAUUUGUCUAUCCUAGACAUUUCAUAUAAAUGGAAUCAUGCAAUAUACGACCCUUCUUUCACUUUGUGUAAUGCUGUCAAGGUACAUCCACGUGAUAUCAGUUCCUCAUUCUUUUUAUGGCCAAAUCACAUUCCAUUGUAUGGAUAUAUUACAUUUUAUUUAUCUGUUCAUCAGUUGGUGGACAUUUGGGUUGGUUUCCAUGUUUUUGGCUGUUAGGAAUGAUGUCCCCAUGAACAUUCAUGUACAAGUUUUUGUGUGGACAUGUGUUUUCAUUUCUCUUGGACAUAUGCCUAGGAGUGGAAUUGAGUCACAUGGUAACUUUAUAACCAUUUGAGGAACUUCCAGACUGUUUUUCAAAGUGGCUACACCAUUGUACAUCCCCACCAGCAAUGUACAAGGGUUCCAGUUUCUCCACAUUUUUUUCAACUUUUUUUUUAAUCAUUUGACUUUUUUUUGAGACAGAGUCUCACUCUGUCGCCAGGCUGGAGUGCAGUGGCGUGAUCUCAGCUCACUGCAACCUCCGCCUCCUGGGUUCAAGCGAUUCUCCUGCCUCAGCCUCCCAAGUAGCUGAGACUCCAGGUAUAUGCCACCAUGACCAGCUAAUGUUUGUAUUUUUAGUAGAGACGGGGUUUCACCAUGUUGGUCAGGAUGGUCUUGAUCUCUUGACCUCAUGAUCCACCUGCCUCAGCCUCCCAAAGUGCUGGGAUUACAGGCAUGAGCCACCGUGCCCGGCCUCAUCUGACUUUUUAAUUAAAGCUACCCUAGCAGACAUGAAGUGAUAUCUCAUUAUGGUUUUGAUUUGUAUUUCUCCCAUGGCUAAUAAUAUUCAGGACCUCUUUAUGUGCUUAUUGGCCAUUUGUAUAUCUUUUUUAAAGAAAUAUCUAUUCAGAUCCUUUGCUUAUUUUUGAAUUGGGCUAUUUGUCUUUUUAUUCUUGAGUUGUAAUUGUUCUUUAUAUAUUCUAGAUACAAGCAACUUAUUAUGUUUAUAGUUUGCAAACAAUUUUUUCCCAUUCUUUGGGUUGUCUUUUCACUGUUUUGAUAGUGUCUUUUGAAGCCCCAAAGUUUUUUAUUCUGAUGGCUGGUUUAUCUGUUUUUUUCUUUAGUUGCUCAUGCUUUUGGUGUCAAUCUAAGAAUGCAGUGCCAAAUCCAGGGUCAUAAGGAUUUAUCACUAUGUUUUCUUCUGUGACUUUUAUGAUUUUAGUUCUUCUUUAUAGGUCAUUGAUCCAUUUUGAGUUAGUUUUUUUAUACAGUGUGAAAUAUGGAUCCAACUUCAUUCUUUUGCAUGUGGAAAUUCAGGUGUCCCCACAUCAUUUGCUGAGGGGACUAUUCUUUUUCCAUUGAAAGAAGUUGGCACUCUUGCUCAAAAUCAACUGGCCAUAGAUAUGUGGGUUAAUUUCUGGGCUCUCAGUUCCAUUCUGUUGAUGUAUAGAUCUGUCCUUAUGCCCAUACCACACUGUUUUGAUUACUGUCAUUUUAUAGCAGGUUUUAAAAUUGGGUAGCAUAAAUUAUCCAACUUUUUCAAGAUUUCUUUAGCUAUUUGUGUUUUCUUGCAUUUUCAUAUGCAUUUUAAAAGCAACUUGUCCAUUGCUGAAGUCGAAAUUUUGAUAGGGAUUGCAUUGAAUUUGGAAUCUGGGAGUAUUGCUAUCUUAAUAAUGUUAAGUUUUUCAAUCUAUAAACAUGGGAUGUCUUUCCACUCAUUUAGAUCUUCUUUAGUUUUCAACAAUAUUUUGUAGUUUUCAGAGCAUAAGUUUUGUACUUCUUUUGUUAAAUAUGUUCAUAAGUAUCUUUCUGAUGCUAAUAUAAAUGAGUUUUUUUUUAAGACAAAGUUUUGCUCUGUCACCAAGGCUGGAGUGCAGCGGUGUGAUCUCAGCUCAUUGCAACCUCUGCCUAACGGGUUCAAGUGAUUCCCCUGCCUCAGUCUACUGCGUAGCUGGGAUUACAGGUGCCCACGACCACACCCAGCUAAUUUUUUGUAUUUUUAGUAGAGACAAGGUUUCACCAUAUCGGCCAGGCUGGUCUUGAACUCCUGACCUCAAGUGGUCCACCUGCCUCGGCCUCCCAAAGUGCUGAGAUUACAGGCUUGAACCACUGUACCCAGACUGGAAUUGUUUUCUUAACUUCAUUUUUUAUUUGCUCAUAACUACUGUAUAGAAAUAAACUGAUUUUUGUACACUG